CACGUAGGGGGCAAGCGUUGUCCGGAUUUAUUGGGCGUAAAGAGCUCGUAGGCGGUUCGGUAAGUCGGGUGUGAAACCUCCAGGCUCAACCUGGAGAUGCCACCUGAUACUGCUGUGACUCGAGUCCGGUAGGGGAGCGUGGAAUUCCUGGUGUAGCGGUGAAAUGCGCAGAUAUCAGGAGGAACACCAGCGGCGAAGGCGGCGCUCUGGGCCGGAACUGACGCUGAGGCGCGAAAGCCAGGGGAGCAAACGGG
rnacentral:rRNA from 1 species